UAAAAUUAGUCUAUGUAAGAAAACAAAAUUCAAGUCUAGUACAUCAGUAAGGAAGCGUUUUUAAUUCAAUUUAAUGGUAUACGCAAACAACAUCGUGCAAAAGAAAUAAAACUUCGGAGCUUUUCAUUUACAAAAUGGUGAGAAAGGUAUGGAUGCUUGGAUGCUCAAAAUAAAAAGGAAAAGUAUUGCAAGCUUAUUUUCCUCUAAAUUUCAUCAGAAAAGGGUAUAAGCUUCACUUUUGAGGGAUCUUGGGGAUCAACUGUACAUAAAGAAGCUAGAACUAAAAAGCUAACUAUUCGCUCAUUUUUUACCUCUAUAUAAGGAGAUCCUGGAAUAAUUGAAUUGUUCAUUAAAUUCUUAAUUUAGUUAGUAAAUGUCUAGUGUUCCAAGAUUAUCACCGAACUGCCAACUGAGCAAAUUAAGCAACCUUACCUCAAUGACUUGUUUAAACUCCUCCGUUAGGUCUUUUUUUGAAAUAUUUUCAAAAUUUAAAGAGGGUUGAUUUUUUCCAGGUCUGUUCUUGUCAAUUGAUGCUUGCGCUCCUUCAAGUAAAGAAGGCGCAUGCUCAUCCAAAAACCCGUCAAGGAAUGUGAACAAUUCUUGAGAUUCUUUUUCAUAACGCUCCUUUUCUUGAAUUAUUGCAGAGUGAAUGAUGGACUUUUUUCCUCUUCUACUCAUUGCUGCCUGCUGUUUUUGCCGUUCACCCAUACUGGAUUUCAAACUCUGCAAGUCAGAACUAAAUUUCUUGAUUUGAUGCAACUCUUCCUUGAGUACAGCCUCCAAUUUCUUGUUUGAAUGAAGAUUCUUCUUUAAGUCGGAUAUAUUGUUGUCGAUGGCAUUCUUGCCAAUGAUCGGUUUAAAUGCGAUACAUUUUUUUAAAUCAAUGAUCUCUUGAAACAACUCUAGUUGGAGUUUUCUUUUUUCGCUUUUGGAGUUUUCAGUAAACUUAGAAACUUUCUUUUCCCAUUUUUCUAUCUUUUCCACCAAAAGUUGGUCAGAUUGUACGAGCGAUUCAAAAAGAGCAAGCCUUGACUCAUCUUGUGUGAGAGGUUGUACCAGAUUCUCAGUAUCGUUUAAAAUAUUUCGGAAAAGAGAUGCGUUUUCUGAAUUCAUAAUCUUAGCUUGACGGUUUAGGCAGUUUUACUCAUAACUAACGUUUUAGUGGGUGUAAACCAAUUUUCUCGAAUUAGAACGAUUGAAUUUAAAAUGUAUGUUUCUUAGACUCGACUUCAGUAAUUUUGAAUUUAACAAAUUGAUUAUUUUUUUGUUUUCUCAAAUAAUUUGACUAAGAUACCAAAUAUUUUCCACACUCGUGUGUGGUUCAAGUAGUUUAGGCAAGUUUAUGUAUCCAGUAUACACAACUAUUUGAACUGCGAGCAAUAGGACAAAAGAAUUAUUAAUUUUAACUCAGGAAUUAUAAAAAAAAAUUCAACACGAUUUUUACACAGUCGUCUACUCGUAUAUCUUUGAAUGAAUUAAGCCCAGUCUACGAUGAUAUAGUGACUUCAACGAAAGAUAAUAAAGAAGUCAACUUCAAGAACCUCAAACCGAAACUUAAAUAACACCUAUUUGAAAGCAAACUCCAUACUUUUUCAUUUAAGAAAUCAAGUUCGCAUCCUUCAUUAUGCUUAAACCCAAUAUAAUGUAAGCUACGCAGUUUGGUAUCUGAUUUAAGGAUACGUAGAACUGCGGUGAGUUUUCCUUGUGAUCUAUUAUAUUACAAUACACAGGUUAUAUGAGUAGCAACUGAGUAUAGGUAUUGUAUUAACUGGGUUAUAAUGUUACCU